GACGAACGCUGGCGGCGUGCUUAACACAUGCAAGUCGAACGAUGAACCACUUCGGUGGGGAUUAGUGGCGAACGGGUGAGUAACACGUGGGCAAUCUGCCCUUCACUCUGGGACAAGCCCUGGAAACGGGGUCUAAUACCGGAUAACACUGCCACGGGCAUCUGUGGUGGUUAAAAGCUCCGGCGGUGAAGGAUGAGCCCGCGGCCUAUCAGCUUGUUGGUGAGGUAAUGGCUCACCAAGGCGACGACGGGUAGCCGGCCUGAGAGGGCGACCGGCCACACUGGGACUGAGACACGGCCCAGACUCCUACGGGAGGCAGCAGUGGGGAAUAUUGCACAAUGGGCGAAAGCCUGAUGCAGCGACGCCGCGUGAGGGAUGACGGCCUCGG
rnacentral:rRNA from 1 species